UCUUCUUCUUCCCUCUGAUUUCUUGGCUCCAAUCAUUUUCGAUUAAAGCAGAAUCCAGAGUGCUGAUUUUCCACUGAAAAGCAUCAAUAUUGUUAAAUGUAUUACCACUCCUCAAGAACAACAAACAGCUUAUAAAACAAAGGUUUUUCGCAAUGCGAACAUUGCCAAGCUUCAAGCUGGUUACCUGUUUCAGGAGGU